rnacentral:misc_RNA from 1 species
GAAAUGCGAUACGUAAUGCGAAUUGCAGAACUCAGUGAAUCAUCAAAUCUUUGAACGCAAAUGGCGCUUUCGGGAUAGGCCUGAAAGCACGUCUCUUUGAGUAUCGAUUCCACCACAACAAGUCAACUUGUUUGAAUUUGUUGAAAUUGAGUCUUCAUCAUGUAAUAGUGAUGUGACUUGAAGCUUAAUGGGUUUCAACUUAAUAAUGUCUUUUUGGCUCUUCCGAGCUAAAUAGAUUUGAAAGAUUAUGUUAGCGUAACGUGGGUAAAUCCAAUACGUGACGUUAACUAUCAAAGAUCAAUCAAAUUGAACAACAUUAUGAAGCCCUUAUAACACCAACAUUCUAAGAAUUAGAUCUCAAAUGAAGCGAGAAAACCCGCUGAACUUAA